UACGUAGGGUGCGAGCGUUAAUCGGAAUUACUGGGCGUAAAGCGUGCGCAGGCGGUUUUGUAAGCCAGAUGUGAAAUCCCCGGGCUUAACCUGGGAAUGGCAUUUGGGACUGCAAGGCUGGAGUUUGGCAGAGGAGACUGGAAUUCCCGGUGUAGCAGUGAAAUGCGUAGAUAUCGGGAGGAAUACCGAUGGCGAAGGCGGCCCCCUGGUUGGAUACUGACGCUGAUACGCGAAAGCGUGGGGAGCAAACAGG
rnacentral:rRNA from 1 species